CCUAUAUCAGGGCUCUGCUGUUGCUGUCACUCACAUAUACCUCCAGAGGCCUGGCCUGGCACGGCACAGCACACUGGUAGAAGUGUUGCCUAGGUCACGCAGCCGAGACCCGCAACGUCACUUCCGCCAGACGAGAGGAAGCCAGAAGUGGAAUGGCGAAUCCGCGUGCGGCGUGACAGAGGAGAACGCCGGUGGGGAGGUCCAUGGGGGCGGCAUCAGAAUGCUGACUUACCCAGAAAGAAAAGGGUAAAGGAGCGGGUUAUGAGUGGAAUGUUAGCUACGCAAAGCAGUACACUCUCCUUCACAACAGCUGGCUAAUCCUCUGUGAUUUAUUCCAGAGGAAUUAACUGAGAAACAAGGAAAACUGACAACGGCUAAUGGCUCAAGAUACAGUAAAAUGAAAGAAGAUGGGCAGUGAAUGAGAGGCUAGGCUUCUUUUGUUUCCUGCUGUUUGGCUUCAUACUAGAGAGUUUGAAUUGUCCUACACUUGACUAGAUCAGUCCCAAAAUACCAACCAAUAAAAUGAAAGGUUAGUGAAGACACAGCUACAUAUGACAUGUUCAGUUCCAUGAUGUGGGAGUUGAUUGGAGGCAAGUGGAAAGUUACAGAUUGAACAUUAUAUGGUGGAUUGUCCAGAAAAGCAUGAGUCAGAUUCACCUCUUCAUGACCUAAAUUUCAAACAUUCACUUUGUUUUGUUAGUCCAUAUGUGUAUGCAGGCUGGGACAUAUAGUAUUGUCUGAUGAUA